UCCCGCAGCAGCGAGCGGCUCUCGGCCCGGCUCCCUUCAGCGCCGCUCCCGCGUGCGAGGUGUUGCCAUGGGCAGGGCCCUGCGCCGUGCCGCUGGCUCCCCGGGCAGCCCCGGCCCUGCGGGAAGCGCCUCGCAUCCAAGAGAACCCAAAGAGGAUCAGCAUUUGCUUUGUCUCAUGAAAAAUGCCAGUGACCAAGAACAUACAAGCUGGACAAAGAAAUUCAGCUUAAUAUAAAUUUGUGAAAUAAAAGUGUCCUUCUCUGAAGAAAAGGCUUUGCUUCACACAAGUGGCCUGCAGUGCAGUCCUUCCUGUUUGGUAUUUUCUCCUGGAAGUCUUGUACUGGUACAACAGAAAUUUCUGGCUGCAAAAGGAUACCAUAAAUGCUGGUGUUUCCUUGCUGUAAAAUGACAGAAUGGGACAGUGAUUCUCUGCUACAGUGAUUUCUACUUUCAUUAACAGAUUGUUUAGGUUCCCGCACAAAAAAGCAGAAGUUCAAGUGCAUACAAGAGCUGAAACUGAUUCUCACACUUCAUAAGAGCUGAAGGAAUGUAACAUGGCAUAACGUUAUUUUCCCCCAAGUGAUAGGCAUCAGGCUAAUUAAUACUUAGCUGAGUGCAUGAAACCUGCAUUUGUUUAAAGCUGAAGGGGGAAUAUUGAAAACCAAAUUCAGUCAGACAUAGAAACUCACAAGGGACAACUCUGUCAGCAUUCCUUAUAGUGAAUUCCUUACUCCUGACUGUAAAACCAUAUAUGAAUAUAGAACAAUAUGAACUUGGGUUGGGGCUUGCCAGCCACCGUGUCAGAGUGUAAAGCACUGACACCAGUGCAGAAGGAAUAUUGGAUCCAUCAGUGUGGAUUCAGCCUUCAAUCCCCAAAAGUACAGCUGCUAGAAUUCUUUAGCUUAGCUAGUUCAAGAGCUAAGUAGUUGCUGAUUAAUUACUUAAUUAUUAUGCUGUUUGGCAGUAGGACUGUAGAUUUUCCUGCUCUUUUAAAUAUUUAAGCAAACUGCACAACCCAAGCUGAAGGUUCUAGCUCAGACACAAUAAGCAUUAUAACUCUAUUAACAUUAAUAUGUGCUAAUUUAUGUCUACAAUACAUUUUAAAAAUUGUGCUGAGACAACUUCAUACUCAGCUAUAUCAGGAAAUCACAUUAUGUUUUUUCUAUUUCUAGCUAAGGGAAGUCAAUAAAAAGUUAGGAGAGUUACAUUUUAACCCCUUGUUCCAGUCAAUGUCUGCCUGCCUGUGGCCCUGGUGUGCCUGAGGAAGCACCGUGGGGCUGAGAAAAGUACAAUUUAAGAGCAUGGAGCAUUCUGGGAUGUGUAAGUCUUUGUAUCAAAGAAAGCCUUACAUGGCACAAUUUGGAUGAUGCCUGGACUUAAACCUAUUACCAGAAAAAGAUAAUGAUGUGAGAGCCAAAUGAAAGGACAACACAUAAUACCAUAUACAAGGAAAAUCAGAGGAGAUCUUGAGUGAGCAAAGAAGAUGUACAUGAUGAAAUUAUUUACCAGAAAUGGAAAAAGAGAAAUUAUUUUGGAACUACAAGCUGCAGACAUGGCAAAAUGAUAAUGGAAGUUAUACCAAAGCUUGCUGUAAGUACCUCUCAGGUAAACAAGUCCUGUGGUAAAAUUAUGGCAUGAUGGAUUGUCUUAGGUUGCAAGACGUGGCUGGGGGUGUGUAUUCUAUUGCCAUCUGUUAGAGAUGGGGCAGUUAUCUACUGUUAAUUGGGCCACCUGUCAAAAGCAGCUUUGGCAGUUUUCUUUAUCUCUUCCAUGGCCUCCCUUGGGGAUAUAUCUG